UAAAAAGACAGCGCUAAUGGUUCACUUGAUAGAAAAUGAUCAUAGUUUCGAUCUAUCAAAAACCAAAAUACUUGAGCAUGAUAACAGAAUCCAAGCACUUCAGAUUCUGGAAAUGUGCCACAUUUUUUGCGACGGCUCAACAAUUAAUUUCAGGACCGACACAAAUAACUUGAAUGCAGCAUAUUCUGGUGUACUGCACUCGCUCUCACAUCAAACAUAGCCAUCACUCACUCGCUCACUGUUGGUGGUUUCGCAUCUGUCAAACCUUAUUCGUUUCUACUUCCAUCUGUUCCGUAUUGAGAUAAUGUAUACAACACACACUUUUGGCCUUUUGAAACAUUUCAUUACUCAGUCUGCUUGGGAUGUGCGCGGGGUUCUUCUGUUGUAGAUUUGCGUUCUGUGUUUCCUGUUUAAAUGUCCAAAAUAACUUGACUAAGAUAAUACUGUUACCGUUUUUUGCCCUGAAGAUGAAGGCGUAGACCUUCGAAACGUUGGUAUUAGACGAAAUAUAGAUAUUGUCGUAUGAAAACCGUGACCAAAAAGCC